GGCAACCCACUCCAGUGUCUUUGCCAAAAAAAAAACCCAAACCUCCAAAAGGGCCACAAGGAGUGAGACAGGAUGAAAAACGAGUGAACGACAAAGAACUGAGCCAAAUGAUUUAGUAGCAAGUGCCCUUAGAUUUCAUAUCCUGCCUCUUCUAUUCUCUACCUUGGGCAAAUUAAUCUCCCUGGACUUCAGUUCCCUCAUUUAUGAAAUGGAGUUGGAUUAGAUUAUUUCUCAGGUGUGUUCUAGGUCAAAAUCCAGAAUCUUACAGGCUACCUAGAACUGAAAGUGCUCCAUGUGGGGGAUUGCUUAGGACCUUUGCCCAAAGUGUAACAACCUGGCUUCACACAAGGUCUCAGUCUCACACAAUAGGGUCAGGACCCGUUCCAGCUCACCACAUCAUUUCCCUCCGUUCACUAAAUCUAAUAAUUUAGAACCAACUUAAUCCAUCUUUUCCACAUUUUUUUUUCUGGUGAUGAUCUCUUUAUCUUGGCCAGGCUAUCCAUAUAAGCAGGCGCUACACACAGAUGGGUAUGGAAUGCUGAUUGGCACAGAAGCUUCAACCUGACUUAUUUCUGACCUGGGUUAGACCUCAAGCACCUUGGUGCCUCCACACCACUCCCCACUCCCAGGACUCACGAUAAUGGUGACAAACAAGGGACACACCAGAUUUAUUUUGGCCCCCUGGAGCUUAGAACUCCCUAGCUCUAGCAAUCCACCAGCCUUAUAUGCACAUGUUUGUGGUUCAUGGGCAUAAAGUCAGAGUGAUCUCUCUACCAUCUCACCAAGGCUAUGCCAUGCAGCAGAGUAGGGAUAUCCUUUCAGAAUGGCAGGCAUUGGGAAUGUCCAGCCCACUCUGAUGAUCCAGGGCUCUGGAUCCACUUUGCCUUUGUUCCUGGGGCUCUCUGGGAUUCCUAUUCAAACAUUAAGGCUCUGUUCUGGAUGCUAGGAUACAAAGAGAGACACAGCAUAGACCCUACUCUCAAGAAACUCUCAGCCUAAUGGAGGGAAGGACAAGAACGUACCAUAGGAGGGAGGCAGAGUGAUCCUGGGCAAGUUCCUUAAUCCCUCAGUGCCCCUUGUAGAGAAGAGUGCUAACAUGCAUCAGGGGGAAGAAUUGGGAGCCCUGGGAGGAAAUUGCUGAGCCACAGAUUUCAACUUCAUGUAAAGAAAAGCUUCCUAACAGUUGGAACUCUCCUCGGGACACUGUGGCUGGCCUCUCAUUAGUGGUCUUCCAACAAAGGACGGAUGACCUCUCAUGAGGCACCACAUUUUAGAAAAGUCAUUGAUAAGCUGCAGAGCAUCCACCAGAAGGGAACCAGAGUGGUAUGUGGCCUCAGUUGACUGAUCAA